GGUGGCUCAGUGGUAGAGCGCUUGCCUUGCGUGCAUGAGGCCCUGAGUUCCUCAGCACCA
rnacentral:tRNA from 1 species